rnacentral:rRNA from 1 species
GACGAACGCUGGCGGCGUGCUUAACACAUGCAAGUCGAACGGAAAGGCCCUGCUUUUGUGGGGUGCUCGAGUGGCGAACGGGUGAGUAACACGUGAGUAACCUGCCCUUGACUUUGGGAUAACUUCAGGAAACUGGGGCUAAUACCGGAUAGGAGCUCCUGCUGCAUGGUGGGGGUUGGAAAGUUUCGGCGGUUGGGGAUGGACUCGCGGCUUAUCAGCUUGUUGGUGGGGUAGUGGCUUACCAAGGCCUUGACGGGUAGCCGGCCUGAGAGGGUGACCGGCCACAUUGGGACUGAGAUACGGCCCAGACUCCUACGGGAGGCAGCAGUGGGGAAUAUUGCACAAUGGGCGGAAGCCUGAUGCAGCAACGCCGCGUGCGGGAUGACGGCCUUCGGGUUGUAAACCGCUUUCGCCAGUGACGAAGCGUGAGUGACGGUAAUGGGUAAAGAAGCACCGGCUAACUACGUG